rnacentral:rRNA from 1 species
CUACGGGGGGCAGCAGUGGGGAAUCUUAGACAAUGGGGGAAACCCUGAUCUAGCCAUGCCGCGUGAGCGACGACGGCCCUAGGGUUGUAAAGCUCUUUCAGCAGGGAAGAUAAUGACGGUACCUGCAGAUGAAGUCCCGGCUAACUCCGUGCCAGCAGCCGCGGUAAUACGGAGGGGACUAGCGUUGUUCGGAAUUACUGGGCGUAAAGCGCGCGUAGGCGGAUUGUUAAGUCGGGGGUGAAAUCCCGGGGCUCAACCCCGGAACUGCCCUCGAUACUGGCAGUCUUGAGUUCGAGAGAGGUGAGUGGAAUUCCGAGUGUAGAGGUGAAAUUCGUAGAUAUUCGGAGGAACACCAGUGGCGAAGGCGGCUCACUGGCUCGAUACUGACGCUGAGGUGCGAAAGCGUGGGGAGCAAACAGGAUUAGAUACCCCCGUAGUC